rnacentral:rRNA from 1 species
GACGAACGCUGGCGGCGUGCUUAACACAUGCAAGUCGAACGGAAAGGCCUGCUUUCCCUUGUGGAUUGCGGGUACUCGAGUGGCGAACGGGUGAGUAACACGUGAGUGAUCUGCCCCCAACUUGGGUGUAAGCCUGGGAAACUGGGUCUAAUUCCCGAUAGGACUGCAGGGUGGUGCCUGUGGUGGAAAACGAUUUUCUAGUGGUUGGGGAUGAGCUCGCGGCCUAUCAGCUUGUUGGUGGGGUAAUGGCCUACCAAGGCGGCGACGGGUAGCCGGCCUGAGAGGGUGGACGGCCACAUUGGGACUGAGAUACGGCCCAGACUCCUACGGGAGGCAGCAGUGGGGAAUAUUGCACAAUGGGCGGAAGCCUGAUGCAGCGACGCCGCGUGGGGGAUGACGGCCUUCGGGUUGUAAACUCCUUUCGACCGCGAGGAAGCCACCUGGUUGGAAGGGUGGUGACGGUAGUGGUAGAAGAAGCACCGGCUAACUACGUG